rnacentral:ncRNA from 1 species
GAAUAUCUCUGUUAGUCUAUUCAUUUCCAUUAGCCAGCCGGUGGGAGCGAGAAGUAUGGGAUCAGCGACAGUGGGAUUGAGACACAACCCAGACUCCUAUGGGAGACAACAGUGGGGAACUUUCCGCAAUGGACGAAAGCCUGACGGAGC